rnacentral:rRNA from 1 species
AUUGAACGCUGGCGGCAGGCCUAACACAUGCAAGUCGAACGAGUGGCGGACGGGUGAGUAAUGUCUGGGCAACUGCCCGAUGGAGGGGGAUAACUACUGGAACCGGUAGCUAAUACCGCAUACCAUCGGAUGUGCCCAGAUGGGCUUUGCUAGUAGUUGGGGUAACGGCUCACCUAGGCGACGAUCCCUAGCUGGUCUGAGAGGAUGACCGGCCAGACUGGAACUGAGAAACGGUCCAGACUCCUACGGGAGGCAGCAGUGGGGAAUAUUGCACAAGGGGCGAAAGCCGGAUGCAGCAAUGCCGCGGGUAUGAAGAAGGCCUUCGGGUUGGAAAGUACUUGCAGCGAGGAGGCGUGACUCGCAGAAGAAGCACCGGCUAACUCCGUGCCAGCAGCCGCGGUAAUAC